GCCGGCAUAGCUCAGUUGGUAGAGCAGCUGAUUUGUAAUCAGAAGGUCGGGGGUUCAAAUCCCUCUGCCGGCACCG
rnacentral:tRNA from 1 species